UGCAAGUCGAACGCAGUAGCAAUACUGAGUGGCAGACGGGUGAGUAUAAUGUGGGAAUCUGCCUUUUGGUUCGGAAUAACUCGGGGAAACCUGAGCUAAUACCGGAUAAGCCCUUACGGGGAAAGAUUUAUCGCCAAAAGAUGAGCCCGCACUUGAUUAGCUUGUUGGUGAGGUAAAAGCUCACCAAGGCAACAAUCAAUAGCUGUUCUUAGAGGAAGACCAGCCACAUUGGGACUGAGACACGGCCCAGACUCCUACGGGAGGCAGCAGUGGGGAAUCUUGCACAAUGGGGGAAACCCUGAUGCAGCGAUGCCGCGUGAGUGAAGAAGGCCUUUGGGUUGUAAAACUCUUUCGUCGGGGAAGAAAAUGACUGUACCCGAAUAAGAAGGUCCGGCUAACUUCGUGCCAGCAGCCGCGGUAAUACGAAGGGACCUAGCGUAGUUCGGAAUUACUGGGCUUAAAGAGCUCGUAGGUGGUUAAAAAAGUUGGUGGUGAAAUCCCAAGGCUUAACCUUGGAACUGCCAUCAAAACUUUUUAGCUAGAGUAUGAUAGAGGAAAGUGGAAUUUCUAGUGUAGAGGUGAAAUUCGUAGAUAUUAGAAAGAACACCAAAUGCGAAGGCAACUUUCUGGAUCAUUACUGACACUGAGGAGCGAAAGCAUGGGUAGCGAAGAGGAUUAGAUACCCUCGUAGUCCAUGCUGUAAACGAUGUGUGCUAGACGUUGGAUAUUUUAUUUUCAGUGUCGCAGCAAAAGCGUUAAGCACACCGCCUGGGGAGUACGACCGCAAGGUUAAAACUCAAAUGAAUUGACGGGGACCCGCACAAGCAGUGGAGCAUGUGGUUUAAUUCGAAGAUACGCGCAGAACCUUACCAACUCUUGACAUGUCCGUCGCGACUCGUAGAGAUAUGAGUCUUCGGUUCGGCCGGACGGAACACAGGUGCUGCAUGGCUGUCGUCAGCUCGUGUCGUGAGAUGUUGGGUUAAGUCCCGCAACGA
rnacentral:rRNA from 1 species